AUUGAACGCUGGCGGCAGGCCUAACACAUGCAAGUCGAACGAGUGGCGGACGGGUGAGUAAUGUCUGGGAAACUGCCUGAUGGAGGGGGAUAACUACUGGAAACGGUAGAUAAUACCGCAUACCAUCAGAAGUGCCCAGCUGGGAUCAGCUAUUUGGUGGGGUAACGGCUCACAAAGGCGACGAUCCCUAGCUGGUCUGAGAGGAUGACCAGCCAACCUUGAACUGAGACACGGUCCAGACUCCUACGGGAGGCAGCAGUGGGGAAUAUUGCACAAUGGGCGCAAGCCUGAUGCAGCCAUGCCGCGUGUAUGACGAAGGCCUUCGGGUUGUAAAGUACUUUCAGCGGGGAGGCGUUACCCGCAGAAGAAGCACCGGCUAACUCCGUGCCAGCAGCCGCGGUAAUUC
rnacentral:rRNA from 1 species